GAUCAUGGCUCAGAAUGAACGUUGGCGGCGUGGAUUAGGCAUGCAAGUCGUACGCACAGGCUUCGGCUGUGAGUGGCGCAAGGGUGAGUAAUGCGAAGGUAACCAACCCUGGAGUUGGGCAUAACCGCGGGAAACUGCGGGUAAUUCCCAGCGAUGUCUCGAGAUGGCAUCAUCUUGCGACCAAAGGUGUGAUUCCGCUCUAGGACGGGCCUUCGUGGUAUUAGGUAGUUGGUGAGGUAACGGCUCACCAAGCCGACGAUGCCUACCGAGUGUGAGAGCAUGACCCGGCACACUGGAACUGAGACACUGUCCAGACACCUACGGGUGGCUGCAGUCGAGAAUCUUCGGCAAUGGGCGAAAAGCCUGACCGAGCGACGCCGCGUGAGGGAAGAAGGCCUUCGGGUUGUAAACCUCUUUCGUAGAGGAGGAAGGGGUCGUGCAGAGCGGUCUUUGACCUAUUCUAGGAAGAAGCUUGGGCUAAGUUCGUG
rnacentral:rRNA from 1 species